CCAUGUGAACAUACCUGUUGCCUCGGCGGGCCUACCCUAUAGCUACCCUGUAGUUACCGGGGAGUGACCGCCGAAGGACUACCAAACUCUUUUAUCUCUGUAUCUCUGAGUAAAAAAACAAAUAAGUUAAAACUUUCAACAACGGAUCUCUUGGUUCUGGCAUCGAUGAAGAACGCAGCGAAAUGCGAUAAGUAAUGUGAAUUGCAGAAUUCAGUGAAUCAUCGAAUCUUUGAACGCACAUUGCGCCCAUUAGUAUUCUAGUGGGCAUGCCUGUUCGAGCGUCAUUUAGUCCACUUAAGCCUUUGCUUAGUAUUGGGAAUCUACUUUUACUCUGUAGUUGUAGUUCCUCAAAGACAGCGGCGGAGUCGUGGUUUUACUCUGAGCUUAGUAAUUUUUUUCUAGCUUUCGAGUUGCCAUUGCCCCCUUGCCGUAAAACACCCUUUAUUUUUUAAUGGUUGACCUCGGAUCAGGUAGGAAUACCCGCUGAACUUAAGCAUAUCAAUAAGGC
rnacentral:rRNA from 1 species